AGGAGGGAGGAGAUGGGCCAAGUUCCCUCUGCCUGGAACGCCCUUCCCCCCCUUCUUC
rnacentral:pre_miRNA from 1 species